CUCUUCUUGUAUUUAUUUGAAGUAUAACCUGCCCACUGAUUAAAUUUGAAGGGCCGCGGUAUUUUGACCGUGCAAAGGUAGCAUAAUCAUUAGUCUUUUAAUUGAAGACUGGAAUGAAUGGUUGGACGAGAAAUAUACUGUUUCUUGAAAAUUGAUAGUUGAAUUUAAAAUUUAAGUUAAAAUGCUUAAAUUUUUUUUUGGGACGAGAAGACCCUAUAGAGUUUAAUAUUUUUUAUUAUUACUUUGUUUGUUUAAAUUUUUAUAAUAUAAUUUAUUUUGUUGGGGUGAUGAUUAGAUUAAAUAAACUCUUAUUUUUAUAUUUUCAUUUAUUUAUGUUUUUUUGAUCCAUAUUUUUUGAUUAUAAGACUAAAUUACCUUAGGGAUAACAGCGUAA
rnacentral:rRNA from 1 species